GUGCGAUGACGAUAACUGCGCCUAUUGUGAAGGAAGGGUCCUUCACUUUGUCUGAUUUUCGGACAAAAAAACCAGGCGCCUUAGAGCAU